rnacentral:sRNA from 1 species
GACUAAAGCUAUUUAAAAUGGUUAUAUAAGACUUUUUUAAACGUAUUUGCGUUGCUGACGAAUUGGAUUUAUGGAGGCAGGAAGUUCCAAAAACGUAUCGCGUUGUAGUAGAAAUGCCAUUUAGAGAACAGCAGCUUAUGAUGAAUAGGUAUAAUUGUUAUCCUUCUAUGGGAUCUAACCGUUGUUAUUUUGUUGCUCAGAUCACCAAACGCUACGUUAUUAAGGCUCUUUGCAAAUUGUAUGGAGAAAAAUGCUAUCCCCGUUUAGUUAAAUGGCUAAUCUUAUCGCCGUUUAUUAAAACAUAUGGUGUCAUCAUUCAAUUAGAAUGACAAAACUAGAAGGAAGAAUGCAGCAUAUUAUUUACCAGUCUAGCGGAUUCGCUAGCUUAUGGAUAAAAAAGCUUUUCCCGCUUACUGUUCUGUACUUAAACGUUGGCAGCGCUGACACGAAUGUGUGUCAAUGUCAUCAAAUAUUAAAACAAAAACAAAAAAGUAAUUUUUAUUUUAAAUAAAUGUUUCUCGGAGUUUAUAAA